UUGGCCCUACGGGAGGCAGCAGUGGGGGAUAUUGCACAAUGGGGGAAACCCUGAUGCAGCGACGCCGCGUGAGUGAAGAAGUAUUUCGGUACGUAAAGCUCUAUCAGCAGGGAAGAAUAAUGACGGUACCUGACUAAGAAGCCCCGGCUAACUACGUGCCAGCAGCCGCGGUAAUACGUAGGGGGCAAGCGUUAUCCGGAUUUACUGGGUGUAAAGGGAGCGUAGACGGCAAUGCAAGUCUGGAGUGAAAGGCGGGGGCCCAACCCCCGGACUGCUCUGGAAACUGUAUAGCUGGAGUGCAGGAG
rnacentral:rRNA from 1 species